ACAUUGUCCAGUGAUCUCAGACUACACGUAUAGGAGGAAGAAGAAGAAAGAAAGAGGAAGAAGAUGAAGAAGAAGGCGAAGAAGGAGGAUAAGAAGAAGAAGAAGUAAUUAAGUGGAUGAUAACUGUGUAAUUUGUUAGUUUUGUGGUCGUUUACACAUAAUAUUUGAUUGGAUUGUUCUCAAUAUCAUUUACUAGUAUGAUAAAAUGUAGUACAUCGCUGAAUCAACGAAAUUCAUUAUUAUUUUAAAAACCCAAUUUUCCGUAAAAAAUAGCAAGGCAAAAGGAAAAGAAUAGUCUUAUCGCGAAGUAUGAAUUGCAAACGAAUAUUUUCUUUCAUUACAUUUAAUCAAAUGGAAUUUUUUUAAUCGUCUAAAUGAUUCAUUGAAACAAUCUGCAUUUUGACCAGGUUCGGAAUAAGGCGUAUCAAACAAUACAUCUAAUUGUUCAUUAUAUUCAACGAACUUUCAUUUUUUUGUUUAAUGAUCUUUUUCGAGACUCUGAUCUUAGGCAGUAUAUUCAUGAUAUAUGUUGAAAAUCAAUAAAUUAAAAAUCCAAAUAACUCUCGUGAGAAUAAACUUGGAAUUACUAAAUCCCUGACAUAACAUGGCUUUGCAAUAUAUUGGAAAAACGAAACUGAACAUAGAAAAAGAGCGAAAUAAAAUAAUGGCGCCGAUUUGCAUAUCAUUACACCUCGGACCACAUGGGUGUUGGUCGAAAUACGGCAUGCAUUGUCGUUACCUUGACUUCAAAUCAGUAGCGCACACAAACACAGAGAACAUGUUAAGCGGGCUAGCCAAUAGUUCACUAUUUGCCUCCAAGCCAUUCGCUUACUUGUUCCAUUCACAGCGGGCCAUUGUUCGAGAUGGAGUUGGCUGGCGACGCAUAGUUGCCCUGUGCAAACAGAUCGAAUUGUCCAUCUCGCUAUGAAGUCGGUUACCAAGGAGACUGUAGUUAAUAUUCAAGUUCCUGACGAAAUGGCCGCCAGGUUCAGACCUGCCUUCUUAACUCGUACCUUCAUCAUUCUCAUAUUCAUUUUUUCUGUCGGUUCGUUGUUCUACACCACUACGCAGCUGCAAACUCCACAUCCCCAGACAGCAAGGAGCAUUACCAGAACGGGUUCAUUGCAACUAAAACACUCUUCUAUUGAUGGAAGCCAGUUGGACAUCUCAAAUAAAGCACAACAUCUCCACGAUUUAAUUAAUCAGCUACCUCAUAUUAAUCCAAAUAACAACUCAUUUCCUACCGGAGGAGAUCUACGAAAAAUCUCGGGGAAAAAUGUAACGUUUGUUUUGCCAAGAAGUCUCCUUAAUCUGAACAAAACGAAACUGUAUCUUUAUCACCAAGGUGACGAAAAAUCAAGAACUCUUGAGGAAGAACAUCUCAUUUUGGUGGAACCUCGACGGGUGAAGCUCUCACGAGAGAGAGCAAUGAAGAGGACGGAGAUGAGAGCAUUGAAGACUCGCACAUGGGAGCAAACCCAAGCGGCCCGUCGGCAGCUUGUGAACGAUGUGUGCGAAAAGCGACCCGAACUCCGUAACGGAACCUUAGCCCACAUCAUCAGCGCAAACCGAACGAAACUGUCGCAUUUCCUCGUGAGCGAUCGCUUCAAGAUCAUCAUCAUGGCUGUCCCGAUGGCAGCUUCCGGCUUCUGGAAGGAAGCUAUCAAUCAGUUGUCUUUCCCUGGGUCGCGAAGUGGUGCUUCGGCUGAAGGUGACGCUUUGAGACUUCUAAGCACCUACGACAAGACUGAAAUCCGUCACCGUCUCCGAGAGUACAAGAAGCUUCUGUUUGUGCGGGAUCCAUUUGCGCGUUUCGUCUCUGCGUACCGCCGAAAGUUUCUGUCACCAUCUGAUUAUUCUAAGCAAUAUGAAACCAUCAUUGCAGAGACUUACCGACAAUGGAACACGGGAGUCAACUCCAACAAAACCUCCAAUAUCAGUUUCCAAGAAUUCGCGUAUUUUGUGGAAGAUUCAUGGGACGACAUUUUCGAGGGUCUUUGGCAGCCGACGUCCAAGUUGGCAAUGCCUUGUGAAAUCAAAUACGACUUCAUCGGAAAACUGGAAGAAGGUCCGCUAGAGUUUAACAACAUGCUUAAAAGCGCGAAAAUACAUUCCCUUGUCAAGUAUAAACCGUCUGGUAAGACACACAGUCAUAAAGGAUCCAUUUAUGAUCAUUAUUUCUUACAAUUAUGGACAAAUCAGAUCAAACGGCUCUAUGAAAAAUACGAAGAUGAUUUUUUAAUGUUUGGAUAUUCAAUACCUACUUAUAUGCAUCCAUGGGUAUUUGGCGGGUUCAACGUUCCAGAACAUUAAUUUUGUUAACAUUUUUGGAAAUAUAUACAUGUUUAUUCUCUGAAAUAGUAAUCAUAAUCUACCGUCUUGUAUUACGAUAUAUUUAACAUAUCUUCGAUAUUCAUGAAAUAUACACUGUUAGUCAUAAUGGUGGAAUAAUUAUUUUCCGGGGGAAAAUAUAAUGAAUUAUUGAUAAUUCAUGGCAUUUUCUUUGU